UUUUGGGUCACGACUCCAAAGUGGUCUAGUCAGUAGUCAGUGUAGAAACUAGAAAGAGAAAGAAAUAUAGGGAGAGAGAGAGAGAGAGAGAGAGAGGAGCUGAGAAAUGAAUUUCGAAUUUUACUUGUUAGUGGUCUGGUCGGAGGAGCUGACCUUUGACCACCACGAACUAUGAAAGCUUCUUUAACACGCCACACAACUCGAAGAAGAAGAACAAGAAGAGGAAAUUGGUUUUUCUGAGAAUUCUCAAGCUUCGCGACAAAGGAAAGAAAUUUCAUUUGCUCGAUCAGAUUAUGAUUGAGUUUGACCACGAAGCUUUCUUCGUAAUUUCUCAACCAAGGUUAGUUUUUGUUUUUGUUUUUGUUUUCCCCAGUUUUGCCCCAAACUUCACGUCAAUAAGCCUUCACUUAGAUUUUUAAGGAGAAACCAGUUCAGUAAAAGCCCUGAUCUCUGCGGCAUUGUCCUCUCUCUCUCUCUGUUUUUUUUUCUUGGGAAAUUUUCUUUGGAAUUCAGGGUAUAUCAAUCUCAUCAAGUUUUAGUGGAACUGGAAACUCAGUUUGAUUGAGCUCAUUUAUUUGGAUGAUCAUGGCCAGUGAACCCACAACUAAAGUUCGGCUAGUUAGGUGUCCUAAAUGUCGGUUGGUUCUUCCUGAGUUGCCUGAAUUUAAUGUGUACAAGUGCGGUGGAUGUAACGCCACUCUCCAAGCCAAGAAUCGAGUAAAUAAUGUCCGAAAUACAGGAUCUGGUUUAAGUGACGUGGAUCCUAUUCAGGAGAAUCUAAUGGACGGCGUUCGUGAAGACAAAGAAGAACUCAGUUCAGGUGAUAAAGUUGUUCUUAAGGGCUCAGAAGAAUACCUGCCGUGUGAAAACAAUGAGAGGGAUCAAAGUAGAUCUGAGGUUUGUGAAGAUGAGCAGCUUGGGGGUGCAAAUUUAUCAAGUAAAAAUCAGAACAAUGGGAGUCAUCGAAGCGAUUCUUCAGAUUGUGAUAACGAAGUCUUUUCGCCAACUGAGUUUGUUGAUCAUAAGAAUGAGGAGUUCGCUCUUAAUGAGAAUGACAAGCUUGCUAAGGAUGGGAACAAUAGCUUUGUUAAUAAUGGCAAUGGGGAGUUGGCUCAUGAUGAGAAUGUCGUCUUAGCGGGUAAUGAGGAGGAGGAGAUUGCUCAUAAUGAGAGCGAGGAGUUUGCCCAUGAUGAAACUGAGGAAUUUGCUCAUGACGGGAAUGAGGAAUUUGCUCAUAAUGAUAGUGGGGCGUUAGCCCAUGAUGAAACUGAGGAAUUUGCUCAUGACGGGAAUGAGGAAUUUACUCGCAAAGAAAGCGAGGAAUUCACUCAGGAAAUUUCUCAUGAUGAAAAGGAGGAAUUCACUCAAAGUGAAUAUGAGGAUCCUGCUCGUAAUGAGAUUGAGACGACGUCUUUAGCGGGAGCGGAUUUAGAAGUACCAGUCAAUCAUGAGAGCUCAGUAUUAGCAGAAGAAAAUACAAUAGAUACCAACAAGAAAAGUGCCACUGAUUCUGAUGAUAGAAGCUCUAAUGCAUUCAAGUCGGUUGCUGCUAUGGAAGAUGGUUCAAAUGCCUCUGCUCAUGUGCCUGUGAGGGAAAGUAUAGUAGAUACUCUUGUAUCUUCUAGUGGCGAACAACUUAAGCAACCUCAAAAAGGUGUUCACCAGGGCUAUGCCAAUUUGAAAUCUGAAGAAUUCAACUCAAGCUCUGAGCUCAGUGAUACUCGUAGAGACAUGACCAAAUCCCCGACAAGAAGCUCUCGUGCAUAUGAUGGCAGUAUCUCGUCUUACGAUGCACUGGAUGAUCAAUUCCCUAUGGGCCGUUUGCAUUCUCUUGAAGACACUUCUUACAAGGCUGCAAAUUUUCUUCAUUCUAAAGAACGACCUAGGAGAGACAAAUUUAUGGUGCCGACCAUGAUAAACAGAGAGUCUGAGAUGCAACAUCAGGCACGCCCUUCCUUGUCAGAUAAGAAGACUCGUGCCGUGAAAAACGGCAAGUGGGAUCGCGGUGAAUUUCUAGAACCUGCCAGGCACGACCGAACUGUUCGAAAUUGGAGAUUGGAGAGACAUGAACAUCAACCUAGUUCGGCUUUCCAUCGAUCAAUUUCCCGAGAUGACUGCGAAAAUGGAGGUCCUUCCAAUCGAUUGCAUAACGAGUUCCACCGCCGUUCAAGUUUUCAAUCACAUGACUUGCCUGAAGACCAUGGGCAGGUGAUGAAACUGCUUAGAAUGGUGUUUGAAGUGAAGAAUCAACUUGAUAAAUCCCACUCUCUGUAUGAUAAGGGAAAUGAUGGGAUUGAAGGAUUCUCUAGAAAGGAAAGAUAUAACCCCAGAUACCAUAACUACGAGGCAUCGUCAGAGGAACGUUUUCAUCAUCCAGACUAUGCCAGGUAUUAUGGAAGAUUCGGGUCUGGAAUUAACUACUCCAAUCGGAGUAGGUUGAAGAAGAUGCCCUUUUCAGGUGACGCAACUGGCAGAUGUCACCAAGUUGAUCCCUCCUGUUCACAUUGCUUUCCACAAGAUUGGCCACGCUCGGCACAAUUGCCUCCAUCCUCGCAUUACAAUACUAGUGGACUGUGGAGGGCCCAUCCUGGUCACAACUACAGCACAAGCUAUAGCUCUUGUCCCUCAAGCCCUCUAUGGAGUGUGGACUCCGAAUAUCCCCCAUGGGGACGUGAAACACAAUCUGAUGAUCUGCGGCGCAGAACUCACGACAUGACAAAUUACUUGAGAGACAACGACCGCCUGGCCAAGCGCCAUUUCCGGCCUAUUGCAGGUGGAGCCCCUUUCAUAGUUUGUUACAAAUGCUUCAAACUUUUGCAGCUGCCCGCUGAUUUUCUCCUCUUCAAAAGAAAAUGUCAUCGGUUGAGGUGCGGUGCUUGCUCGGAGGUACUUAAGUUUUCACUUCAAAACGGAUCUCAUAUUGCUCCGUUCACAGAGAAAUCUGUAGACACUCCUCCACCAAGUGAAGCUGAGGACAACGGUGAUGAGAUUGAGAGGAGAAACAUGGCUUCAACAUCUCAAGCUUUAGACGGAGAUCCCGUGUCAUGUAAUGAUGAUUAUGCGCCCUCUUACCGCAAAAGCUGCUCAAUUGAAGCAGAUCCUAUUUCCACCACACCCUUUCACACUCCACUUGGAAGAAGAUUUGACAAAAGAAUUUUAUAUGGUUCUUCUGAUUUCUCUGGAGACAGCAAAGAGUUGGCUCCUGAACAGUCUCCAGGAAAAUACAAGAACCGCGUACCGAUGUAUGAAUCUGCCGGGCCUCCCUCAAACACAUACAAGUCAGAAAAAUCUUCCUCAGAAAUUGGGAGGCUGCCUCCAAGAUCAACUUCACCACUUCAUAGACUCAUGGGAUAUUCUUCACCUAGUCAGGUAAUAUUUGGAACUGACCAUCUGGCCAAGGGACAAGUUCGUACUCUAUAAGGAAAAGUGAGUCUAGGCACUGAAAGCUAUUUCUGAGAAUAUGGCAGCUAUCGACCAUCUCAUACGAGGAAUUCGAGAAGUGGCAAAAAGGGAUCAAACCUUUGAGGAGUUGGAAUUCAAUAAAAAAAAAAAAAAAAGAAAGAACUUUGGUUUGUCUUACCGGCUACAUUUUGGUGGCUUGAUGCAGCCAAGUCCAUUUGAAAAAGGAAAAAAAAAAAUUAAACGCACACCAAAGGAAGGAACUUGGCAGUUGACAGUAUUCGGCCAUCAAGAAGACGGGACCAUUAAAGUUCCAAUUCCUUUAACCAACAAAUUUUUUCAUAUGUAAUA